rnacentral:rRNA from 1 species
AACGAACGCUGGCGGCAGGCCUAACACAUGCGAGUCGAGCGAGGACUUCGGUCCUAGCGGCGGACGGGUGAGUAACGCGUGGGAACGUGCCCUUUGCUUCGGAAUAGCCCUGGGUAACUGGGAGUAAUACCGGAUGAGCCCUUUGGGGGAAAGAUUUAUCGGCGAAGGAUCGGCCCGCGUUGGAUUAGGUAGUUGGUGGGGUAAUGGCCUACCAAGCCGACGAUCCAUAGCUGGUUUGAGAGGAUGAUCAGCCACACUGGGACUGAGACACGGCCCAGACUCCUACGGGAGGCAGCAGUGGGGAAUCUUAGACAAUGGGGGAAACCCUGAUCGAGCCAUGCCGCGUGAGCGAUGAAGGCCUUAGGGUUGUAAAGCUCUUUCAGCUGGGAAGAUAAUGACGGUACCAGCAGAAGAAGCCCCGGCUAACUCCGUG